GUGUUACGGUAGGCGAAGAUGGCUCGGGAAUCGUCGUCGACGGCAAGGCCAUCAAGAUGUUUGCCUGUCGCGAUCCCAAGGAGAUUCCGUGGGCCGACCUCGACGUGGAGUACGUCGUGGAGGCCACUGGCAUUUUCCGAACGGGAGAAAAGGCCGCACAACAUCUCGAAAGCAAAAAACCGGCUAAGAAAGU
rnacentral:ribozyme from 15 species